AAUGGGAAUGAUGAAAGUUUAUCCUUAGGGGGGGUUCUAUAGGCCAUUUUGGUCUAUAUGUGACCCUUCCGAUGCUAGGUUUGUCAUAGUUACUCUGACCUGUG